CGGAGCCUCUGCGUGUGGGCCCAAGGGGAAGAAUGGAAUGGGGAAGGGUUAUGAGUCCCCGGGGCUGAGAAAAUUGGAAUCCACAAACAAACAAACAAUCAGACCCUGGACAGAGGAGACCCACAACCUCAGACCUGGCUCUGUCUGCCCCAGGCAUUAUGCUAUCUUGUAUUUCAAAGAUGAAGACUCAAACCAGAGAAGUUAUGACCUGCUCAGGAUUAGAUGACCUCCUCUGACUUAUUUCUUUUCCCCACAUCAGUGCUCACUGUCUCAGACCUCUGUCAGGUUGUCUGGCUGGAAUCCUGCAUCCCUGGCCUCAGCUAGAAGGCUGAGAAUGAAAGAAGGAACAAAAUUGAAAACUGAUCCCAUUUAUUUCAAAAUCAUGUCACCUCUGUCAGCUGAAGAUACUGAACUAAGAGGCAGCUUGAGUCUCCUUCCGCUUGUGCAUGAGAUGGCACAGUCUUUCUUCAAAACAAGUCCUAUAUGGGAAUUCCCUGGCGGUCCAGUGGUCACGAUUCCGCACUUCCACUGCAGGGGGCGUGGAUUCGCUCCCUGGUCGGGGGAACUAAGAUUCCGCAAGCUACGCAACGCGGCCAAAAAAAAGAGCUCUAUUGAUGAUUAGAGGUCAGCUGGAUUUUGGCUAAUCUUGUCGGGAUCAGUGGAACUUGGCUCCAGCCAUGAGUUGAGUUCACAUCUCUCAUUCCUCCGUGACUAGUGGGCUGCCCAAGACAUCAUCUUCACAAGGUGGUAGCAGAAGCCCAAAAGAGCAGACCCAGCACUGAAAUGGGUAAAGCCUCUGUACACAUCACAACUACUAACAUUUCAUUGGCUAAAUAAAGUCAUACAGCCAAGCUGACAUCAAGGGGGUGGAAAAUAUACUCCAGCUGUAAUCUCAGGAACUACACAUGGUAUAGGUGUAGGGAGUGAUGAAGUACUGGGAAGAAUUAUACAGUCUACAACAGUGCCUCACAAAAAGAUUACAUGGAAAAAACACAUGCACAGGAUAUAAAAUUGAUUGUACAACUUGAUCAUAACUAUGUAAAAAUAUUUUUUGCAAUUCAACAAAGAAUAGAAAUAAAUAAGCAAAAAUGAAAAAAAUCAUGACUGGA